rnacentral:pre_miRNA from 1 species
UCAAAUCAAAUUUGUAUGGACUUGGAACGUUUGCCACUAAGGGCGCUGUUCCAACUGCAUACAAAUAUAAGUUA